rnacentral:rRNA from 1 species
AGCAGCCGCGGUAAUUCCAGCUCCAAUAGCGUAUAUUAAAGUUGCUGCAGUUAAAAAGCUCGUAGUUGAAUUUCGGGACCAUCAUGUCGGUCGUGCCUCGGUACGUACUGGCAUUGUUGGUUUCUCCCUUCUGACGAACCAUGAUGUCAUUUAUUUGGUGUCGUGGGAAAUCAGGACUGUUACUUUGAAAAAAUUAGAGUGUUUAAAGCAGGCUCACGCUUGAAUACAUUAGCAUGGAAUAAUGAAAUAGGACGUUUGAUUCUAUUUUGUUGGUUUCUAGGAUCGACGUAAUGAUUAAUAGGGAUAGUUGGGGGCAUUAGUAUUCAAUUGUCAGAGGUGAAAUUCUUGGAUUUAUUGAAGACUAACUACUGCGAAAGCAUUUGCCAAGGAUGUUUUCAUUAAUCAAGAACGAAAGUUAGGGGAUCGAAGACGAUCAGAUACCGUCGUAGUCUUAACCAUAAACUAUGCCGACUAGGGAUCGGAUGAUGUUAAUUUUUUAAUGACUCA